UACGGGGGGAGCAAGCGUUGUUCGGAUUUACUGGGCGUAAAGGGCGCGUAGGCGGUCAGCACAGGUCAGUUGUGAAAUCUCCGGGCUUAACUCGGAAAGGUCAACUGAUACUGUGCGACUAGAGUGCGGAAGGGGCAACUGGAAUUCUCGGUGUAGCGGUGAAAUGCGUAGAUAUCGAGAGGAACACCUGCGGCGAAGGCGGGUUGCUGGGCCGACACUGACGCUGAUGCGCGAAAGCCAGGGGAGCGAACGGA
rnacentral:rRNA from 1 species